CUUGAAGUUAUUAUGGAUGAGGUAAAUCCUGUUAACCAACUCAUUUAAAUAAUUUUGUCUUUAGGUCUUAUGGUAAAACUGUUGUGAUACUUGUUUUAGCUUCACAACUUUGACUUUGUGCACUGGCUGGUAUCAUAUAAUAAACUUUAUACUGACCCCUCUACUUUACCAUGCCAUAUAUACUUGAAGGAAAGUAGGGAUGUGAUGCCUUGUGAGGCCAUCUGUAGAAGGAAACUGAUACUGAAUUAGAUUUUGUUUCUUCAAUCAAAGUAUUUGAAAUGGGAAGGUUCUCCCUUCCUUGCAAACUUACUUCAGUUGAUGACCUUUUUGGACAUAGUGUCUUGUGCCUUUCUGGUCAGAGAGACGACAUGAUCCUGGAGUAAUCAUCAUUCCCUACCAGUGAGUAAGUAUUUACAAAUUUUAAAAUGAAUGGUAGAGUAUGGGUCCUGGGACACUUCUUUAAAUUUUACUUUUAGGCUGCACUGUGCACCAUGUAGGAUCUUAGUUCCCUGACCAAGGAUCAGAUGCACACCCCCUACGUUGGAAGCAUGGUGUCUUAACCACUGGACUACCAGGGAAGAACCUAGUUGACUGUUAAGUACCAGUUACAGUCAUAUCCAGCUGCAUCAUUUAGUGAUGUAUGGGAAGUUCAGAGAAGUAGACAAUAUCUUCCAAAUAAAUAAUUAACAAAUGCCCAAAUAUCUAGGUCUAGUUAGAGUUGAUAUGGAACAGUGAAAUCUUUUAAAAGGAAGAGGUUGAAGGUUUUAGGUUUUAUGGCUAAGGUUUCAACUAGACAAUAAAUGAGUCCUUAUUGACUCUAGCAAUUAGCUUGUAAAACACCACAGUUCAAGACUGGGUAAUAACUCCUUACUAAUUUAAGACUUGUAGACUAAUUUGUCUUCUGCUUCGAUUUUAUCAGCAGAGAUUAUAUCUGUGUCGCCUUUCCCAGCUUUUAAAUCAUGGCCUUUCAAAUAACAGUCUCUGGAAGAAGAGGGGCAUUCAAAAUGACUACAGGUGCUGGCCCCAACUUUAUAUGAUCUAUCCCAAAGUAAUUUUUAAGAUUAAUGGCCACUUUCAGUCAUAUGCAGUACCUUUUUGCCCACAUACUUGAUGCCUCUGAAAGGAAGAGAGAAUUUGGUUACUGUGGAUCCUACCUAGUAAUGUUGCAACAAGGCUAAAAAUCUUACUUAACUACGUUUAGGACAGAACAAACCACACCAGGUAAAAUAAUCUUGUUUUUUAGAAAAAGAUCAUAUUACAGAGGCCUUGGCUAGGUUUAUGAUGACAUAGGACCUUGUCUGAACAUGAUGAUUUCAAAAUUUGAGCUUAAAAGGACACUCUGAAAUCUAGUCAAUGUGCCUCAAUAGACUUUUCAGACAUUAUUCUUGGUAGAAAUGUUGUCUUGACAUGUGAAAGCUGAAUAGCUAAAAUUGGCAGGUGUAGUAGUACACUUUGUGCCAGUUCUUUAGACAUCCCUUGUUUUCUUUUCGUAGAUUUUUGUAAUUAUUUUCUUUUUUUCUUCCUUUU
rnacentral:lncRNA from 1 species